GACGAACGCUGGCGGCGUGCUUAACACAUGCAAGUCGAACGGUGAAGCGCCUUCCUUUUUGGUGGGUGUGGAUGAGUGGCGAACGGGUGAGUAACACGUGAGUAACCUGCCCCCUUCUUCUGGAUAACCGCAUGAAAGUGUGGCUAAUACGGGAUAUUCUGGGUCUGUCGCAUGAUGGGUCUGGGAAAGAUAUUGUUUCGGUGGGGGAUGGGCUCGCGGCCUAUCAGCUUGUUGGUGGGGUGAUGGCCUACCAAGGCGGUGACGGGUAGCCGGCCUGAGAGGGUGGACGGUCACAAUGGGACUGAGACACGGCACAGACACCUACGGGAGGCAGCAGUGGGGAAUAGUGCACGAUGGGCGCAAGCCGGAUGCAGCGACGCCGCGUGAGGGAUGGAGGCCUUCGGGUAGUGAACCUCUUUCGCCAGUGAAGCAGGCCUGCCUAGUUGGUGGUGGGUUGACGGUAGCUGGAUAAGAAGCGCCGGCUAACUACGUG
rnacentral:rRNA from 1 species